UGCAAGUCGAACGGCAGCAUGAUCUAGCUUGCUAGAUUGAUGGCGAGUGGCGAACGGGUGAGUAAUACAUCGGAACGUGCCCUGUAGUGGGGGAUAACUAGUCGAAAGAUUAGCUAAUACCGCAUACGACCUGAGGGUGAAAGUGGGGGACCGCAAGGCCUCAUGCUAUAGGAGCGGCCGAUGUCUGAUUAGCUAGUUGGUGGGGUAAAGGCCCACCAAGGCGACGAUCAGUAGCUGGUCUGAGAGGACGAUCAGCCACACUGGGACUGAGACACGGCCCAGACUCCUACGGGAGGCAGCAGUGGGGAAUUUUGGACAAUGGGCGAAAGCCUGAUCCAGCAAUGCCGCGUGUGUGAAGAAGGCCUUCGGGUUGUAAAGCACUUUUGUCCGGAAAGAAAUCGCACUUACUAAUACUAGGUGUGGAUGACGGUACCGGAAGAAUAAGGACCGGCUAACUACGUGCCAGCAGCCGCGGUAAUACGUAGGGUCCAAGCGUUAAUCGGAAUUACUGGGCGUAAAGCGUGCGCAGGCGGUUGUGCAAGACCGAUGUGAAAUCCCCGAGCUUAACUUGGGAAUUGCAUUGGUGACUGCACGGCUAGAGUGUGUCAGAGGGGGGUAGAAUUCCACGUGUAGCAGUGAAAUGCGUAGAGAUGUGGAGGAAUACCGAUGGCGAAGGCAGCCCCCUGGGAUAACACUGACGCUCAUGCACGAAAGCGUGGGGAGCAAACAGGAUUAGAUACCCUGGUAGUCCACGCCCUAAACGAUGUCAACUAGUUGUUGGGGAUUCAUUUCCUUAGUAACGUAGCUAACGCGUGAAGUUGACCGCCUGGGGAGUACGGUCGCAAGAUUAAAACUCAAAGGAAUUGACGGGGACC
rnacentral:rRNA from 1 species